rnacentral:rRNA from 1 species
GACAGAGGGUGCGACCGUUGUUCGGAAUUACUGGGCGUAAAGCGCGUGUAGGCUGCUUGGAAAGUCGGAUGUGAAAGCCCUGGGCUCAACCCAGGAAGUGCAUUCGAAACUUCUAAGCUCGAGUCCUGGAGAGGGAAGCGGAAUUCUCGGUGUAGAGGUGAAAUUCGUAGAUAUCGGGAGGAACACCGGUGGCGAAGGCGGCUACCUGGACAGUGACUGACGCUGAGACGCGAAAGCGUGGGGAGCAAACAGG